GAUGAACGCUGGCGGUAUGCUUAACACAUGCAAGUCGAACGGUCACUUCGGUGAUAGUGGCGGACGGGUGAGUAACGCGUGAGAAUCUGUCUUCAGGUCGGGGACAACAGUUAGAAAUGACUGCUAAUACCGGAUGUGCCUUUGGGUGAAAGAUUUAUUGCCUGAAAAAGAGCUCGCGUCAGAUUAGCUAGUAGGUGGUGUAAGAGACUACCUAGGCUCCGAUCUGUAGCUGGUCUGAGAGGACGAUCAGCCACACUGGAACUGAGACACGGUCCAGACUCCUACGCGAGGCAGCAGUGGGGAAUUUUCCGCAAUGGGCGAAGGCCUGACGGAGCAAUACCGCGUGAGGGACGAAGGCUUUUAAGUAGUAAACCUCUUUUAUCAAGGAAGAUGAUGACGGUACUUGAGGAAUAAGCAUCGGCUAACUCUGUG
rnacentral:rRNA from 1 species